rnacentral:rRNA from 1 species
AUUGAACGCUGGCGGCAGGCCUAACACAUGCAAGUCGAGCGGAGCGGCGGACGGGUGAGUAAUGCCUAGGAAUCUGCCUGGUAGUGGGGGAUAACGUCCGGAAACGGGCGCUAAUACCGCAUACUAACAGAUGAGCCUAGGUCGGAUGAGCUAGUUGGUGGGGUAAAGGCCUACAAGGGCGACGAUCCGUAACUGGUCUGAGAGGAUGAUCAGUCACACUGGAAGUGGGACACGGUCCAGACUCCUACGGGAGGAAGCAGUGGGGAAUAUUGGAAAAGGGGCGAAAGCCUGCUCCAGCCAUGCGGGGUAGGUGAAGAAGGUUUUCGGAUUGUAAAGAACUUUAAGUUGGGAGACGUUACCAACAGAAUAAGCACCGGCUAACUUCGUGCCAGCAGCCGCGGUAAUAC